CCCUUCUCUGUGCUGUGAUGGACACCGGUCUUUAUGUUUCUUUCCCCCAAACAGACGGCAACCUCCUUGGGGGGACAGCGAUGUUGGCAUAUUUUCCCUGGUGUAUUCGUCUGUUCGGGCUGCUGGUCGGCUUCAACAACAGACGUUAUCCCUCCACAGUGCUGGAGCUCAGAGAUCCACGCAGGCCGGGCUCGGCGGGAGUGGCAGUCAUCGACUGAGUGGAUUUUUAACGUUUUUGAACAUCGUGUGAGCAAGUCCUCCCUCCGUUGUGCCGCCUCGUCCAUCACGACCUCACCCGCCUGGACGCAGAAUGUGACGGCGCGUCUGACCCAGGAGAGAGGCAGUGGGUGGGGCGUUUCAUUCUCUGUAAAAGAAUGACUUUUCCUGGUCUUUUAUGGACAUGCCACUUUGAAAGAUUCCACUUCUCAUCUUGUACAUUUCUUCUCCUAUCACUCAUUGAUUCUUAGCUGGAAUUUUCAGCAAUGCCGAGCAGGUGUAAGAGCAGGGGGCUUCCUCCCUCAGGCGGCUGAUGCUCCUCCGUUCUCCAGAACGUUCAAAGGCACUAGCUGCGACGCUUCCUCCAGGGAGCCUGCCCCCCACCACCCUGAAACUGCUCUCCCCCAUGUCACCUGGGAUCAACGUCACGGUCACUUCAGCCUUUCAACCCACUUGUGGGAUUUGACCCUGUUUCCCACUUCCUUCUUGAGUCUGUGGCUUCCCGGACCAUGCUUCCCUUUACCCCCCACCCCCCAGGACCCUACCCUCAUCGUGUGGGUUUGCUUUUUAAAUAAACUUGCCACAUAUUCUCUAAGUCUCCUGUAAGUCUCUAUCUGUGCACUGAAACUCCGUAUGUACAAUAUUAGCUGGAUUUCCUUGGAAUGGAACUUUGGCCCCUCUGGAAUCAAGCCUCAAUCCUGCCAAGACUAGACUUGUCAAAACAGGCCUUCUUAAAGACUCUGGAAUUCUGAAGGUCUGAAAAAAUAAAUUAGCGACAAUGAACAUAACGCUGCUGGAGAAGAUUGUGAC
rnacentral:lncRNA from 1 species